rnacentral:rRNA from 1 species
CACGUAGGGGGCAAGCGUUGUCCGGAAUCAUUGGGCGUAAAGAGCUCGUAGGCGGCUCAGUAAGUCGGGUGUGAAACCCUCAGGCUCAACCUGGGGACGCCACCCGAUACUGCUGUGGCUAGAGUCCAGAAGGGGAGUGUGGAAUUCCCGGUGUAGCGGUGAAAUGCGCAGAUAUCGGGAGGAACACCAGCGGCGAAGGCGGCACUCUGGGCUGGAACUGACGCUGAGGAGCGAAGGCUAGGGGAGCGAACGGG